GCCGGGCGGCCUCAAAGUUCUGACAUCACAGGGCGGUUCCUGAAGUGGACGUAGUUAUUAAAUGCUGUUUUCCAUGACCGUCUCUGUUCUUCCCAUACGCGAAUGGCAGGCAUCCAGAUCUCCAAGAAUAGAGGAUUAGGAGAGACUCCACCACCUAUGUCCUCACAGUUAAUUAUCGAUUUGUGUCACUUGCCCAUUUUCUCACUUCCUGUUUGUGUGUCAAGGAGUAUUAAUAAAUCUUUGCCUAUUUAAAGAUA
rnacentral:lncRNA from 2 species